GUGCAGCAGUCGAGAAACCUUCGCAAUGCAGGAAACUGCGACGAGGGAACUCCAAGUGCCUACGCUCAGCGUAGGCUGUUCUCAAGCCUAGAAAGCUUGAGGAGUAAGGGCUGGGUAAGACGGGUGCCAUCUGUGGUAGCAGUCAAUAGAUUCGAUUUGUUACUGCAAGGCAUAAGCCGCCGCGGUAAUACCCCGCAGCCCAAGUGGUGGCCGCUUUUAUUGGGCCUAAAGCGUCCGUAGCCGGUCUGGUAAAUGCCUGGGUAAAUCGUGGGGCUUAACCUCACGAAUUCCGGGUAGACUGCCAGACUUGGGACCGGUUGAGGGAGAGGGUACUCCGAGGGGGUAGGGGUGAAAUCAGCAAGGUAAGCUGAUGUAACUUGCCUUGCAAGUCACAAUCCUGUAAUCCUUGGAGGACCACCGGUGGCGAAAGCGCUCUCCUAGGACGGGUCCGACGGUGAGGGACGAAAGCCG
rnacentral:rRNA from 1 species